GCAGUCUCAGGACCAGCAAACCUAUCAAAAGGACAAUUUUAUAGAAGUUGUUAUCCUGGCUGUGACCUCGGGCCUGUUUAGACGAGUAUCCUGCUCACCACUGUAGAUUUCUGAUGAAUGUUAAUGAACAAACUUCUAACAUACACUGUGAUAAAAUAAUUUGCCAUUAAAGGAAGCUUUUUAAACUCCAUCUGGUUAACCUUUAACUCACUUUCUACACUUCAAGUAUUUCGACAGAGCAGCUGCCAAUGCUCUGUCCAUGAAGCGUAAACAAAAACCACUAACCUUUUGAGAGCUCCUUGAAUUCAUAAGCUAUAAUUUAGAGUUAUCAUUCAAAAAUAAACUGUAUCUUUCUGCUCAUUUCAAAUAUGUUGUGUCUGCCUCCAAACGUCCCAUAUAUCCAGAUUCCCUUUCGGGGAAAAUAGGGAAAUAUGCACAGUGAGAGUGUUUGCAUGUUUUCCUGUGUUAUUUCUACUUUGUCUUAUUUAUCUCCUCUCUCAGCUGCACAGCUGAAGUCCCUUACAGCAUCUCCUUCUGAGGCAUCCCAGGAACCACUCCACAUCUUAUUCCCUGCUUCCCCAUAAACAAACCUGGAGAUCAGACGCUGAGGAGACCACCCCAUUUUAAACAUGCUGCAGUGUCCCUAGUGCAGCAAGUCUCCAAAAGCCAGGGAUGAGGAGGAAUGCCACAGCAAUUUAAGCCAAGCUGCCCCAGGAGGUGCAGGCUGCAUCCAUAUCUUGGCCCAAGAUGAACCAAACCAUCCACACGGAAGCAGGAAAAGGGACUUCGCAGAUUUUAAAAGAGUUUUCUGUGUCUUACGGGGGAAACGAUGUCAUACAGACUCUUACAGAAUCAUCCAGACAGCAAGUUCACUGUACCCAUGCCAGCCGUCUCCAUUGAAAUAACUUGUCCUGUUGCUAAUGCUGCUGGUUUUGCAUACGACCAGGUAUCCAUGACUACAGAGAAGAUCAGUAAGGGCUGAAGACAUGCAUUUACUCGUGCCAGUGUCAGCAUGAGAGUGAGUGAAACAGCACAGCCAAGAAUUUGCCUUCCUGUACUGGAAAGCAAUGCACACUAACCGGUAUUCAAAUUUGGAUUCAAAUACCAGUGAAAGGAGUUAAAGGGGCAUCUAAUCCAGAAAGC
rnacentral:lncRNA from 1 species